UGCCACGUUGGAGUAGUCUGGUUAUCUCGUCAGAUUCUCAAUCUGAAGACCACGGGUUCGAAUCCCUGCCUGCCAC
rnacentral:tRNA from 1 species